rnacentral:rRNA from 1 species
UACGAAGGGGGCUAGCGUUACUCGGAUUGACUGGGCGUAAAGGGCGCGUAGGCGGAUGGUACAGUCAGACGUGAAAUUCCUGGGCUCAACCUGGGGGCUGCGUUUGAUACGUGCUGUCUGGAGUUCGGAAGAGGGUCGUGGAAUUCCCAGUGUAGAGGUGAAAUUCGUAGAUAUUGGGAAGAACACCGGUGGCGAAGGCGGCGACCUGGUCCGAUACUGACGCUGAGGCACGAAAGCCAGGGGAGCAAACGGG